AACGAACGCUGGCGGCAGGCUUAACACAUGCAAGUCGAGCGCCCCGCAAGGGGAGCGGCAGACGGGUGAGUAACGCGUGGGAAUCUACCCAUCUCUACGGAAUAACGCAUGGAAACGUGUGCUAAUACCGUAUACGUCCUUCGAGAGAAAGAUUUAUCGGAGAUGGAUGAGCCCGCGUUGGAUUAGCUAGUUGGUGGGGUAAAGGCCUACCAAGGCGACGAUCCAUAGCUGGUGUGAGAGGAUGAUCAGCCACACUGGGACUGAGACACGGCCCAGACUCCUACUGGAGGCAGCAGUGGGGAAUACUGGACAAUGGGCGCAAGCCUGAGCCAGCCAUGCCGCGUGAGUGAUGAAGCCCCUAGGGUUGUAAAGCUCUUUCACAGGUGAAGAUAAUGACGGUAACCGGAGAAGAAGCCCCGGCUAACUUCGUGCCAGCCGCCGCCGUAACAC
rnacentral:rRNA from 1 species